rnacentral:rRNA from 1 species
UACAGAGGUCCCGAGCGUUGUUCGGAUUUAUUGGGCGUAAAGGGUGCGUAGGUGGCCAAGUAAGUUGGAUGUGAAAUCCUGGGGCUUAACCUCAGAAUUGCAUUCAAUACUGCUUAGCUAGAGAGCUGUAGAGGAGACUGGAAUUUACGGUGUAGCAGUGAAAUGCGUAGAUAUCGUAAGGAACGCCAGUGGCGAAAGCGAGUCUCUGGGCAGCAUCUGACACUGAGGCACGAAGGCCAGGGGAGCAAACGGG